GCGCGCGACGUGACCAUGCUCCUCGUGUCGCAGGCUCCAUUGCAGAAGGUGCAGUCGUACAAGCGGCGCAUCGGUUGGGACAUCCCGUGGGCGUCAUCGGCCAGCAGCGAGUUCAACUUCGACCUCGGCUACUCGAUCACCGAGGAACAGUCGUGCACGUGGGUCGCGCAGAACCUCGGGUCCCUGCCGCCGAUCGUCGACCGCAACGCCAGUUCGAGCGGCACCGACAUCG
rnacentral:misc_RNA from 1 species